UACGAAGGGGGCUAGCGUUGCUCGGAAUUACUGGGCGUAAAGCGCACGUAGGCGGCUUUGUAAGUUAGAGGUGAAAGCCCGGAGCUCAACUCCGGAACUGCCUUUAAGACUGCAUCGCUUGAACGUCGGAGAGGUAAGUGGAAUUCCGAGUGUAGAGGUGAAAUUCGUAGAUAUUCGGAAGAACACCAGUGGCGAAGGCGACUUACUGGACGACUGUUGACGCUGAGGUGCGAAAGCGUGGGGAGCAAACAGG
rnacentral:rRNA from 1 species